rnacentral:rRNA from 1 species
UACGUAGGGGGCAAGCGUUGUCCGGAAUUAUUGGGCGUAAAGAGCGUGUAGGCGGCCAGAUAAGUCCGCUGUGAAAUCUCGAGGCUCAACUUCGAGCUGUCGGUGGAAACUAUCUGGCUAGAGUCCGGAAGAGGAGAAUGGAAUUCCUGGUGUAGCGGUGAAAUGCGCAGAUAUCAGGAAGAACACCCGUGGCGAAGGCGGUUCUCUGGGACGGUACUGACGCUGGAGACGCGAAAGCCGUGGGGAGCGAACAGG